rnacentral:lncRNA from 1 species
GGAAGGCUCCCUGGAGGAAGUGAUCUCUUAGUUGAGAAUUGACAGCUGUGUUGACAUUAGGCUGUUGCAAGGACCAGAGCUUUGGGGAUGAUAGCACAUUGGAGAUUGGUGAGAAGCUAGAAGGAAGAGCACAGCUGUAGAGGAGUGAGGGCUGAGGAUGUCAGAGAUGGGUGAGGCAUGUGGUUCUGGGUAUAACCACUCAUCAUAUUCCUGAUUUGUUUCAUGAAUUAUUCCAUGGAGGCCUGCUAAGUAACUGCUCAAGGAAAUAUAUAAGGAAGUGACUUAACACAAUUGGCAUGCAGUAGAUGGCUUGGCUCAGUUUUUUAAGUAGGAAUGCAGAAGAGGAAGAGGAAUGGAUCUUCCGAUUUUAGAUGCAAAUGGGAUGAAGCUAAUAUCUGCUUGACUGGUGGCUUAUGUGUAGAGUUGGAAGAAAUGCUGGCUGAUGUAUGUUACAAUCACGGAGGCAGCAGUGGUGAAAUGCAGUUGGGGAGCGAAGAAGAUUAUGUCUUAGGUUGAACAGAAACAACCCAGUGAGGAACUACUCAAGUGAAUAUAGGAUUUCCUUAAAAAUAGAACUCCGAUCAAGACGGAACAAAAGAUGCUGCACUUCUGACAGAGUAAAGAUACAUGUUUUACAUUCCCAGCUCUCCAGGAUUAUUUAUUUUAGGAUAACAUGCUUUUUAUGGAAGCCUUGAAGCUAAAUACAAAACAAACUACACUUCCCAUGCAUCUCUGUUCCAGAUAGCUUCUCCAAUCCCUCUUGGCAGCAAAAACACUGAUUUUCCUAAGGGUUUGGCUCAAUAAAGGAGUAAGGUAAAACUGGCA